rnacentral:rRNA from 1 species
AUUGAACGCUGGCGGCAUGCUUUACACAUGCAAGUCGAGCGGCAGCGCGGGGGCAACCCUGGCGGCGAGCGGCGAACGGGUGAGUAAUGCAUCGGAACGUACCCUGGAGUGGGGGAUAACGCCGCGAAAGCGGCGCUAAUACCGCAUAUGCUCUGAGGAGGAAAGUGGGGGACCGCAAGGCCUCACGCUCUGGGAGCGGCCGAUGUCCGAUUAGCUAGUUGGUGAGGUAAAGGCUUACCAAGGCGACGAUCGGUAGCUGGUCUGAGAGGAUGAUCAGCCACACUGGGACUGAGACACGGCCCAGACUCCUACGGGAGGCAGCAGUGGGGAAUUUUGGACAAUGGGGGCAACCCUGAUCCAGCCAUGCCGCGUGAGUGAAGAAGGCCUCGGUU